UGGCUGAAAGGCAAAGUGCUUGGCUUCCGAACCAGGGCUCCCGGGUUCGAAUCCCGG
rnacentral:tRNA from 1 species